rnacentral:rRNA from 1 species
AUUGAACGCUGGCGGCAUGCCUUACACAUGCAAGUCGAACGGUAACAGGUCUUCGGAUGCUGACGAGUGGCGAACGGGUGAGUAAUACAUCGGAACGUGCCCGAUCGUGGGGGAUAACGAGGCGAAAGCUUUGCUAAUACCGCAUACGAUCUACGGAUGAAAGCGGGGGAUCUUCGGACCUCGCGCGGACGGAGCGGCCGAUGGCAGAUUAGGUAGUUGGUGGGAUAAAAGCUUACCAAGCCGACGAUCUGUAGCUGGUCUGAGAGGAUGAUCAGCCACACUGGGACUGAGACACGGCCCAGACUCCUACGGGAGGCAGCAGUAGGGAAUUUUGGACAAUGGGCGAAAGCCUGAUCCAGCCAUGCCGCGUGCAGGAUGAAGGCCUUCGGGUUGUAAACUGCUGUUGUAAGGAACGAAAAGCCUCUUACUAAUAAAGAGGGGUCAUGACGGUACCGUAAGAAUAAGCACCGGCUAACUACGUG